AGGGCACAGCCUCUGCGGAGAGUAGCAGGGUACAGUGAAUAACCCAGACACUAAAAAGCAAGGCAGCGGGGGUCCUACCAGCGCGGCUUUUGAUGACGUCGGUGAAUCCGUCCUCAGCGGCAUUUUCUGGGGUCUCCUGCAGACCCCUCAGCUGUGCCAUAACCAAACGCCACGUGCCUCAGCUUCCUCACGCCCCAAACUUUGGAAGGCAGGUCACAUGGAAUCUACACAUGGAAGGACAUAGGCAUUGCAUGCAGGUAUCCGGAAUCAUUGAUAUUGGUCUUAAAAUUUGGAAGUUUCCACUUUUGCUAAGAAAAGGCACGUGUUGGUGAUCAGAUGACCCCCAGAAAAACUGCAGAUGCGUAAGUGAGAUAUAAAUGAUUAUUCUUACAUUCCACUGAGUUUUGGGUUAGUUUGCUUUAUAGCAAUAUUAAGCUGACUGAUAGAAGCAUCAUUGCUAGACUAAAUUUUUAUAAAUCUGGAGGAAUUUAAUGGAUUUCAAAUUGUUGGCCUGUAAAAUGAAUGAAAAAUAUGUUCAUAGUGGU
rnacentral:lncRNA from 1 species